rnacentral:rRNA from 1 species
GACGAACGCUGGCGGCGUGCUUAACACAUGCAAGUCGAACGGAAAGGCCCUGCUUUUGUGGGGUGCUCGAGUGGCGAACGGGUGAGUAACACGUGAGUAACCUGCCCUUGACUUUGGGAUAACUUCAGGAAACUGGGGCUAAUACCGGAUAGGAGCUCCUGCUGCAUGGUGGGGGUUGGAAAGUUUCGGCGGUUGGGUAUGGACUCGCGGCUUAUCAGCUUGUUGGUGGGGUAGUGGCUUACCAAGGCUUUGGCGGGUAGCCGGCCUGAGAGGGUGACCGGCCACAUUGGGACUGAGAUACGGCCCAGACUCCUACGGGAGGCAGCAGUGGGGGAUAUUGCACAAUGGGCGGAAGCCUGAUGCAGCAACGCCGCGUGCGGGAUGACGGCCUUCGGGUUGUAACCCGCUUUCGCCUGUGACGAAGCGUGAGUGACGGUAAUGGGUAAAGAAGCACCGGCUAACUACGUG